CUACGGGGGGCAGCAGUGAGGAAUAUUGCACAAUGGGGGGAACCCUGAUGCAGCAACGCCGCGUGGAGGAUGACGCAUUUCGGUGUGUAAACUCCUUUUAUAUGUCAAGAAAAUGACGGUAGCAUAUGAAUAAGCACCGGCUAACUCCGUGCCAGCAGCCGGCGGUAAUACGGAGGGUGCAAGCGUUACUCGGAAUCACUGGGCGUAAAGGACGCGUAGGCGGGUUGGAAAGUCAGGUGUGAAAUCCUACAGCUUAACUGUAGAACUGCACUUGAAACUUCUAAUCUAGAGUAUGGGAGGGGGAGAUGGAAUUAGUGGUGUAGGGGUAAAAUCCGUAGAUAUCACUAGGAAUACCUAAAGCGAAGGCGAUCUCCUGGAACAUUACUGACGCUAAGGCGUGAAAGCGUGGGGAGCAAACAGGAUUAGAUACCCCAGUAGUC
rnacentral:rRNA from 1 species